rnacentral:rRNA from 1 species
AUGUACCGAGAUGCCAGUGUCAAGGCCGUGGCGAAAGCAUCGCCAAGGCAGACGACUUACCAAGACAUCCCUAAGUUUCCUUAUGGAUAUCAUGAUGAGGAGGAUACUCCCAAGCCUGGCUUUUUGUGGUCUGGCUCCCAGAUACGGCCAGCGUGGGCACCCGAGAAUUACAAGAACUUGAAACUGGAACAUACUUUUUUACCAACGACCCCCAACAAAUAUCAACUCAAGAACUUGUUCAACCAGGUGCGUCACCAUUUCAACAGAUCGUCUCCACUGACAUUUGAGGGCGAUUCAGCUGUCAAUGGUGCUUAUACUACCAUAUAUCCGUUACCACCUUCCAGCCCGCCAGCAAAAACACGUAUUACAUAA